UUACCCAGUAAGUACACUCAUUGGCAUAAGUUAUCUGACAUCCUGGAAAAGCUGAAAUCAAUAGGAUUUUUCUCUAUGCUCUUCUGUUUUCUGACUGCUGUGUUCUCUCAGAUGAUCUGGGCCAAGAGCAGUGCAAACAUAUCCCUCUUACUUGUUGGAUGCUACUGCCUGUGGGUUCACACGCUGUUCUGGAUUUUGAGGGGGAGGGGCUGGUUCACAGGAGAGGUUUGAGGUUGGGCUUACCUAACUUCCCUUGACAGAGAGGCCAGGCUCGAGCAAUUGGGAACUGUCAUUCUGAAAAGUGAGGUUUCCACGAUGGGGCUUGAGAAAAAUACAAAUUGGUAAACAGAGACGUUUGAAUUUUCAUUAGAAUGAGACUCUAAAAAAUAGAUCUUUUCUGUAUUCCCAGUCCAAAUAAGUGGGGAGGUUGCAUUCAAAGGACUUUGUCUGGGGAACUUACUCUAGCGGCGGCUCUCUUGCUCUCCUUGAAUUGGUUCGCCCAUGCUGGUAACUGGCAUUUGCUAUAACACCUUGUCUGGUGAGUUCAGGAGAACAAGGAGCUAAACAUAAUCUGCAGUAGGAAACAGAGACAGCUGAUGGAUUCGUAGACAAUGUUCCGUGGAGUUAAGUGUUGUACCCUCUUUAUUCUUUUAGAGGUCUGCUUGGUAACGUGAAAGAGACGUUCGUCCAGUGCCUGAAAUCCCCUUCAGAGUGUGUUCCCAUUACAAGGGCUUGGGAAUAGUCACCUGAAGUGAGCACACCAUUUCUACUGUGGUCUUUGAUUUUUUUGCUUUAUAGGGAUUAGCAUACAUGUUUCUGAAAAUUGAAAAGUCAGGAGAGUAGAGUUCUGUGGAUCAGAAUUCUAGAAUGAUGUGGCUGCGCUCUCUGCUGACAGAAUUGGUUGGGGAUAGACGUGCUCAAAGCAGGCAAUGAAAUCAUCCACUGAAGUAUGUGUGGUCCACGGUGGAGCUGGUGUUUGAAUCUUCCGCUGCCUUUCCUCAGGCUGUGCCUUUAUUGCUUCCGCUCACACCUGGAAUAGGAUUUGAGUGGAAAUGUGAUUGGAGUCGAAGGCAUCAGGGAGGGAGCCUGAGCUGAGACCACAUCUUGAAAACACAGAAUUGAGGGAGCAGAUGGAAGAAAGAAAGUCAGCAGGCUUGGAGGAUGAUGAUAACCCAAAGAAGAUUAAGGUGCUGGUGGAGGAGGUGCGUUGGCAAAGGAGCUGGAUGACCUGUCCUGACCCACGACCCUGAACCUCAGCCAGAUUGCAGCCUCUCCGAACCAAUGCUUGGACUCCAUGUUGGCUCCAAGCCCUCAACACUGCCAAAGUCUCCAGAGGAAACAGCUGGUGUCACAGCUACUGACUGUGUCCUGGCCAGCUGGAGAAAU